UACAGAGGGUGCGAGCGUUAAUCGGAAUUACUGGGCGUAAAGCGCACGUAGGUGGCGACGUAAGUCGGGUGUGAAAGCCCCGGGCUCAACCUGGGAAUUGCAUUCGAGACUGCAUUGCUGGAGUACGGAAGAGGAGGGCGGAAUUCCCGGUGUAGCGGUGAAAUGCGUAGAUAUCGGGAGGAAUACCCAUAGCGAAGGCAGCUCGCUGGGACGGUACUGACGCUGAGGCGCGAAAGCGUGGGGAGCGAACAGG
rnacentral:rRNA from 1 species